rnacentral:rRNA from 1 species
UCGAACGAGAAAGUGGAGCAUCCAUGAGUAAAGUGGCGCACGGGUGAGUAACACGUGACUAACCUACCCUUGAGUGGGGGAUAACCUAGGGAAACCUGGGCUAAUACCGCAUAAUACCUUCGGGUCAAAGGAGCAAUUCGCUUAAGGAGGGGGUCGCGGCCGAUUAGUUAGUUGGCGGGGUAAUGGCCCACCAAGACUAUGAUCGGUAUCCGGCCUGAGAGGGCGCACGGACACACUGGAACUGAAACACGGUCCAGACUCCUACGGGAGGCAGCAGUGGGGAAUUUUGCGCAAUGGGGGAAACCCUGACGCAGCAACGCCGCGUGGAGGAUGAAGUCCCUUGGGACGUAAACUCCUUUCGAUCGGGACGAUUAUGACGGUACCGAGAGAAGAAGCCCCGGCUAACUUCGUGCCAGCAGCCGCGGUAAUACGAGGGGGGCGAGCGUUGUUCGGAAUUAUUGGGCGUAAAGGGUGCGUAGGCGGUUUGGUAAGUCUUGUGUGAAAUCUUCGGGCUCAACUCGAAGUCUGCAUGAGAAACUGCCGGGCUUGAGUGUGGGAGAGGUGAGUGGAAUUCCCGGUGUAGCGGUGAAAUGCGUAGAUAUCGGGAGGAACACCUGUGGCGAAAGCGGCUCACUGGACCACAACUGACGCUGAGGCACGAAAGCUAGGGGAGCAAACAGGAUUAGAUACCCUGGUAGUCCUAGCCCUAAACGAUGAUCGCUUGGGUGUGACGGGUACCCAAUCCCGCCGUGCCGAAGCUAACGCGUUAAGCG